rnacentral:rRNA from 1 species
CCUACGGGAGGCAGCAGUAGGGAAUAUUGCUCAAUGGGGGAAACCCUGAAGCAGCAACGCCGCGUGGAGGAUGAAGGUUUUCGGAUUGUAAACUCCUUUUGUUAGAGAAGAUAAUGACGGUAUCUAACGAAUAAGCACCGGCUAACUACGUGCCAGCAGCCGCGGUAAUACGAAGGGUGCAAGCGUUACUCGGAAUCACUGGGCGUAAAGAGCGCGUAGGCGGGAGAGCAAGUCAGAUGUGAAAUCCUAUGGCUUAACCAUAGAACUGCAUUUGAAACUGUUAUUCUGGAGUAUGGGAGAGGUAGGUGGAAUUCUUGGUGUAGGGGUAAAAUCCGUAGAGAUCAAGAGGAAUACUCAUGGCGAAGGCGACCUGCUAGAACAUAACUGACGCUGAUGCGCGAAAGCGUGGGGAGCAAACAGGAUUAGAUACCCGUGUAGUC